UGGUCAAUAUUUAUCCCAUCAAUUAAAUCAAAGUUGCUAACCCUUCUCUCUCUCUCCUAACCCAACAGACGCUCUUUAUGGUCCCUUUCUUCCCCUGCAAUGGCAGAUUUCUUUUGGCUUCUUCUCCAAUUUUGAGUAAAGAUUUGACCUCUCAUAUUAUGAAAGCAGAGAUUCCAGGCUCAUUCCAAGCAAAUGUCUGCAGCCCCAACGUAAUUCUAAUUUUUUUUGACAAAGAUUCAAACUGAAUUUCCAUUUGCAAUGAAGUUGACAAAGUUGUCUUCCGGUAGCGAGGCCGCGUUCGGUGUUUCGUUGGAUCCGAGACCUCAGUCCCGAUUCUCUGCCCCAAAACAGGUCGGUAUCUUUUAUCUUCUUAUUUUUCCGAUGCCGUAAAGUUAAGAAGAAUUCAUGUUUUUGAAUGUAUCGUGGGUUUGCUGUUAGUAUUUUUUUUGUUCUAGAUAUCAUGGAAGAAUAGGAGUUUGAUAUAGGAUCCUCCUCUUGCUUGUAUAUCAUAUUAUGAUUUAGUUACUAUCCUUAUAUUUGAAUUCA